rnacentral:rRNA from 1 species
CCUGGCGGCCAUAGCGCCGUGGAACCACCUGAUCCCAUGCCGAACUCAGAAGUGAAACGCGGUAGCGCCGAUGGUAGUGUGGCAUUCGCCAUGCGAGAGUAGGAAACUGCCAGGC